rnacentral:rRNA from 1 species
UGCACUAAUGUUGAAAAGUUAGGCAAUGAGUUGUGGUUAGGAGUAAAAGUCUAAUCAAACUGGCCAAUAUCUGGCUCUCUCCGAAAUAGCCUUAGAGCUAGCCUUAUGAAGUAGUAUACGGGGGUAGAGCGACUGAAUGGAUUUGGGGGCCCACCAGGCUACCCUAUUCAACCAAACUCCGAAUACCGUAUAUGUAAACAUAGGAGUCAGACAGUGGGGGAUAAGCUUCAUUGUCGAGAGGGAAACAGCCCAGACCGCCAGCUAAGGUCCCAAAUAUCGUCUAAGUGAGAAAGGAAGUGGGAAUGCAUAGACAGCUAGGAUGUUGGCUUAGAAGCAGCCAUCAUUUAAAAAGUGCGUAAUAGCUUACUAGUCGAGCAUUGCUGCGCCAAAAAUUCAAGGGGCUAAGACGAUAACCGAAGCUGCGGGGUGCAUAAUGUAUGCGUACAAUAUGCAAAGGUAGGAGAGCGUUCUACGAUAGGAAGAAGAUUAACUGAGAAGUUAGUUGGACGAGGUAGAAGAGAUGAUGCUGAAACGAGUAGCGAUAAAAUAAGUGAGAAUCUUAUUCGCCGAAAGCCUAAGGUUUCCUGGGGAAGGUGAAUCCGCCCAGGGUUAGUCGGUCCUAAGGCAAGGCUGAAAAGCGUAGUCGAUGGAUAACAGGUUAAUAUUCCUGUACUAUCUAGUAUACGAAGUGGAAACACGAGAGUCGAGGGGUGACAGAGGAGGCUAAGCCAACCCUACGAAUGGACGAGUGGGGCCAAGCAAGUAGGUGGGUGUGAUAGGAAAAACCGUCAUACCGAUAACACUGAGAUGUGAAGGGGGUCCUAACGGACACAAGUGGCUGAAGCCAAGCUUUCAAGAAAAGCCUCGUAGACAAGUAUAAAAGAUAACCGUACUACAAACUGACACAGGUAGGCGAGGAGAAAAUCCUAAGGCGCACGAGAAAAUCUUCGUUAAGGAACUCGGCAAAUUAACCACGUAACUUCGGGAUAAGUGGGACCCGUGUUUGUGAAGUGUGCACACAUGGAGCGAAUGUGGGUCGCAGAGAAAUGGUCCAAGCGACUGUUUAUUAAAAACACAGGACUCUGCAAAGACAAAGAAGUCGAAGUAUAGGGUCUGACGUUUGCUCGGUGCUGGAAGGUUAAGGGAAGAUGUUAUUUUGCGAAAGCGAGAGAAGCAUUGAACCGAAGCCCCAGUUAACGGCGGCCGUAACUAUGACGGUCCUAAGGUAGCGAAGUUCCUUGUCGGGUAAGUUCCGACCUGCACGAAUAACGUAACGACUUGGACACUGUCUCAACGGAGAGCUCGGCGAAACUGAAGCAACGGUGAAGAUACCGUUUACCCGCAACUAGACGGAAAGACCCCAUGAACCUUUACUGUAGCAUGGUAUUGUGUUUUGACACCAUAUGUGUAGGAUAGGUGGGAGGCAUAGAAGGUGAUGCGCAAGCAUUAUUGGAGCCGCCAAUGAAAUACCACCCUUAUGUUGUUAGAAUUCUAACUGUAUGCUGUGAACCCAGAUACAGGACAGUGCUAUGUGGGCAGUUUGACUGGGGCGGUCUCCUCCAAAAGAGUAACGGAGGAGUUCAAAGGUACCCUCAGCGUGGUUGGCAAUCACGCGACGAGCGUAAAGGUAUAAGGGUGCUUAACUGCGAGACGUAUAGGUCGAGCAGAUGCGAAAGCAGGACUUAGUGAUCCGGUGGUUCCGUGUGGAAGGGCCAUCGCUCAUCAGAUAAAAGGUACUCUGGGGAUAACAGGCUGAUCGCCACCGAGCGUUCAUAGCGGCGUGGCGGUUUGGCACCUCGAUGUCGGCUCAUCACAUCCUGGGGCUGAAGGCGGUCCCAAGGGUUCGGCUGUUCGCCGAUUAAAGUGGUACGCGAGCUGGGUUCAGACCGAUGUGAAUCAGGUCGGUCCCUAUCUGCCGUGGGCGCAGGAAUCUUGAGGAGAUAUUUUCUUAGUACGAGAGGAUUAGAAAGUACUGACCUCUGGUGUACCGGCUGUAGCGCUAGCUGCACCGCCGGGUAGCUAUGUCGGGAACGGAUAACCGCUGAAAGCAUCUAAGCGGGAAGCCUACUCCAAGAUAAGGAUUCCAUGAACUAUGU